GCUUUGGUGUCCUAGUGGUUAGAGCAUCCGCCUCAGAUGUGGGAGGUCAUAGGUUUGAUCCCCAGCUGUGUCAUACCAAAGACU